UACGAAGGGGGCGAGCGUUGUUCGGAAUUACUGGGCGUAAAGGGCGCGCAGGCGGCUCUGAAAGUCAGAUGUGAAAGCCCCGGGCUUAACCUGGGAAUUGCAUUUGAUACUCUGGAGCUUGAGUACGGGAGAGGAGAGUGGAAUUCCCAGUGUAGAGGUGAAAUUCGUAGAUAUUGGGAAGAACACCGGUGGCGAAGGCGGCUCUCUGGACCGUAACUGACGCUGAGGCGCGAAGGCGUGGGGAGCAAACAGG
rnacentral:rRNA from 1 species